CUUUCAGGGAAGGCUGGGUGCUUGGUUAUUUGCAGCCGGCUCACCUCAGACUGGCUGGUCCUUGUUCCUCUGUGUCUGAUUAUGGGACUCAGGCAAUGAAUAUGAACUCCUAGAGCCUGGUUUAGAACCUAUAGGGCAUUAGAAUCCAGGCUAGCUUCUCUCCAGUCACCUGCCAACUACUGACAUCUAAUAGGAAAUGACCCUCCUGGGUCUGGUUGAAAGGAUGAACUCCGAUCUGGGAGAAGAUAGAGCUCAUAAGAAAUGGGAAUAUAAGAACCAAGAGUUUCUGGGGUCAAGACCAGUAGGGGACCUGCCCCAGAACAGGCCAGCUUGAGAGCUGAGGAGCCCAUCGUUGUUGU
rnacentral:lncRNA from 1 species